rnacentral:rRNA from 1 species
CCUACGGGUGGCAGCAGUGAGGAAUAUUGGUCAAUGGGCGCGAGUCUGAACCAGCCAAGUCGCGUGAGGGAAGACGGUCCUAUGGAUUGUAAACCUCUUUUGUCGGGGAGCAAAAGACGCCACGCGUGGCUUUCCGAGAGUACCCGAAGAAAAAGCAUCGGCUAACUCCGUGCCAGCAGCCGCGGUAAUACGGAGGAUGCGAGCGUUAUCCGGAUUUAUUGGGUGAAAAGGGUGCGCAGGCGGAAGAUCACAUCAGCGGUAAAAUUGAGGGGCUCAACCUCUUCGAGCCGUUGAAACUGGUUUUCUUGAGUUAGCGAGAAGUAUGCGGAAUGCGUGGUGUAGCGGUGAAAUGCAUAGAUAUCACGCAGAACUCCGAUUGCGAAGGCAGCAUACCGGCGCUCAACUGACGCUCAUGCACGAAAGUGUGGGUAUCGAACAGGAUUAGAUACCCCUGUAGUC